CAGAUUGUGUCACAUAUUGCGCCCCUCACGCCGCGCCGCUGGCAGCCAUUUUGAAAGAAUCUAAAAACAAAAGUGUAUUGGGCUGUUAAAACAGAAAGUGCAGAAGGUAAACUAUUGCUGUAACAAUUCUUAAAGCUGCCAAGAACAUAGAAAUGUGGCUUAUAACUCUUUUGGCAGUCUUCUAUAGUAGAUAGUUAGAUUUUUAUUAACUAGGAAGUGGCCUGGACAUUCAUACCGAAAGCAGCUCGAUCAAGAAUUGGUGAGUGCCUUGGGACAUGUUUUGCUGUAUGAAUUGUAUGGAAAUUCAGGAAAAAAAAUUACCACAGGGAAUAUGUUUUUAC